GACGAACGCUGGCGGCGUGCUUAACACAUGCAAGUCGAACGGAAAGGCCCUGCUUUUGCGGGCUGCUCGAGUGGCGAACGGGUGAGUAACACGUGAUUAACCCGCCCUUGACUUUGGGAUAACUUCAGGAAACUGGGGCUAAUACCGGAUAGGAGCUCCUGCUGCAUGGUGGGGGUGGGAAAGUUUCGGCGGUUGGGGAUGGACUCGCGGCUUAUCAGCUUGUUGGUGGGGUAGUGGCUUACCAAGGCUUCGACGGGUAGCCGGCCUGGGAGGGUGACAGGCCCCAUUGGGACUGGAAUGCGACACAGACUCGAACGGGAGGCAGGGGUGGAGAAUGUUACAGUGUGGGCGGGAGGCAAGUGCAGCAAAGCCGCGUGGGGGAAGAGGGCAAUGGGGUAGUAAACCGAUGUCGCCUGGGACGGAGAGUGAGUGACGGUAAUGGAUGAAGAAGCCCCGGCUAACUACGUG
rnacentral:rRNA from 1 species